rnacentral:rRNA from 1 species
UACGUAUGGAGCAAGCGUUAUCCGGAUUUACUGGGUGUAAAGGGUGCGUAGGUGGUAAGGCAAGUCAGAAGUGAAAACUAUGGGCUUAACCCAUAGACUGCUUUUGAAACUGUCGGACUAGAGUCCGGGAGAGGUAAGCGGAAUUCCUAGUGUAGCGGUGAAAUGCGUAGAUAUUAGGAGGAACACCAGUGGCGAAGGCGGCUUACUGGACCGGUACUGACACUGAGGCACGAAAGCGUGGGGAGCAAAC